rnacentral:rRNA from 1 species
AGAGUUUGAUCCUGGCUCAGGACGAACGCUGGCGGCGUGCCUAAUACAUGCAAGUAGAACGCUGAAGGAAGGAGCUUGCUCUUUCCGGAUGAGUUGCGAACGGGUGAGUAACGCGUAGGUAACCUGCCUGGUAGCGGGGGAUAACUAUUGGAAACGAUAGCUAAUACCGCAUAACAGUAGAUAUUGCAUGAUAUCUGCUUGAAAGGGGCAAUUGCUCCACUACCAGAUGGACCUGCGUUGUAUUAGCUAGUUGGUGAGGUAACGGCUCACCAAGGCGACGAUACAUAGCCGACCUGAGAGGGUGAUCGGCCACACUGGGACUGAGACACGGCCCAGACUCCUACGGGAGGCAGCAGUAGGGAAUCUUCGGCAAUGGGGGCAACCCUGACCGAGCAACGCCGCGUGAGUGAAGAAGGUUUUCGGAUCGUAAAGCUCUGUUGUAAGAGAAGAACGAGUGUGAGAGUGGAAAGUUCACACUGUGACGGUAUCUUACCAGAAAGGGACGGCUAACUACGUGCCAGCAGCCGCGGUAAUACGUAGGUCCCGAGCGUUAUCCGGAUUUAUUGGGCGUAAAGCGAGCGCAGGCGGUUAGAUAAGUCUGAAGUUAAAGGCUGUGGCUUAACCAUAGUACGCUUUGGAAACUGUUUAACUUGAGUGCAGAAGGGGAGAGUGGAAUUCCAUGUGUAGCGGUGAAAUGCGUAGAUAUAUGGAGGAACACCGGUGGCGAAAGCGGCUCUCUGGUCUGUAACUGACGCUGAGGCUCGAAAGCGUGGGGAGCGAACAGGAUUAGAUACCCUGGUAGUCCACGCCGUAAACGAUGAGUGCUAGGUGUUGGGUCCUUUCCGGGACUCAGUGCCGCAGCUAACGCAUUAAGCACUCCGCCUGGGGAGUACGACCGCAAGGUUGAAAC